GACAUGCCUGCCGCCUCCUUCUCCUGGUGUCCAUUUCUGGAACUGCUAUUUGUAUAUUGCAUGAUAUUUUAUCAGGGGGAAAAAUAAAACUGAGAUCCAAUUUCACGAAAAUGCUGUUUGCCAUAAUGCUCAGGAGGACAGGGGGAAGAGAGAGAGUCAAGUCUUCCUACUGUCUACCCCAUGUGCAGGUGGCAGUUUUGGCUUCCAGAAUAAUCAGCUGAUGCAGGAACAGCUGAUGCCUUCCUGGGUGAAAACAGAAUGUGAGCAAAACAGAAAGUUAAAGACAGAGUCUUGAGAACCUUCACAUUUACAAGGAGCCAACCAUCUUUGAUCAACAUCAAACAUUCCGUGAUCGUUCAGUGUUAAG